rnacentral:rRNA from 1 species
UACGUAGGGCCUAGCGUUGUCCGGAAUUAUUGGGCGUAAAGAGCCCGUAUGAGCGGUGUGUCGCGUCGGCCGUGAAAACCUGCAGCUUAACUGUGGGCUUGCGGUCGAUACGGGCAUCACUGGAGUUCGGCAGGGGAGACUGGAAUUCCUGGUGUAGCGGUGGAAUGCGCAGAUAUCAGGAGGAACACCGGUGGCGAAGGCGGGUCUCUGGGCAGUAACUGACGCUGAGGAGCGAAAGCGUGGGGAGCGAACAGG